rnacentral:lncRNA from 1 species
UUUCUUAUCAUCCCUACCUUCCUUCUCCUCUGAUGACCUCCUCCUUCUAGUAAGUUUUAAUCCCCUUUCUUCUUCUCCUUUUCCUCCCCUCCUCCUCCUCCAUUUUUCUUCCAUCUUCUUCUUCUUCUUCUUCUCCUCCUCCUUUUCUCGCUUGGAUUUGGAGGUUUAUGAUUUAGGGUUUUGUGAUUUUGGAGUUGUAUGAUUUAGGAGUUUUAUGAUUUGAGGUUUUGAGAGGUUUAUGAUUUAUGAUUUGGGGGUUUUAUGGUUAUGGGGUUUAGGAGUUUAUGAUUUGGGGGUUGUUUGAUUUAGGAGUUUUAUGAUUUGGGGUUUGGGGAUUUUAUGACUUAAGAGUUUUAUGAUUUGAGGGUUUGAGGGUUUAUGAUUUGAUUGUUUGGGUUUUUUUAGGAUUUUAAUUUAGUGAUUUGUCUAUUAUAAUACUUGAG